CGUGAUCGCUCCAGCGCCGGUUUGUUUACAGACUCCAGCCACAGCCAUGAGUCAGAAAUUCAAGCCACCGGGCGCGUUCCAGCUAACCGGGCCCGGGGAGGACCGUUCUCCGGUGUCCCGAGGACCCGGGGGUGCGGGGAGGCCAGCGACGGGAAUUCUGUGGCAAAGGGGACGGGACCAGCCGGCAACAACUGCCUCCCGGGUGCUCGGACCUCGGCCUCCCGGGCCCGGCCGUCCCGUCCACUGCCGCCACCAACGCCGCCGCCAUCUUACACUGGCCAGCGGCCGCCGCCACCGCCGCCUCCGCUCUCUGCGCCUGCGCCUGCGCCGCCACGCUUUCCGGCCCCGUUUGCGACGAUCUGCCGUGGAGGAGCCGGAGGGGAGAGUGGUCGCGCGAGCUCUCGGCUUCCCAACCUCCUCGAAGGACGCGUGGGGGGCGGGGCUUACGGCCAACGGAAAACACGGCGGCGCGCGUGCGCAUUGCCGAGGAGGCAAAGUUGAUUUUUUUCUAGUUCUUGGAGGGUCGCGCAUACCUCUCGGGAUACGCAAGGCAGAUCUGUUAGCAGCCUCCCUGAGUGGGGGUGGAAAUAAAAUGUAUUUCUAACGGGCUGCAGGCAACCUUCCGGGCAACCUCCAUUUCUGCCCUGUUUCUGAAUACUGGGAACAAGCAAUUCUCUCGCCAGAUUUUUUUUCCAAAAACCCGAUUUCCUUUGAGGACUAUUUCCAUAAGUGGUUUCUAUAUCUUCGAGGCCCACUUCACCCGGAGAGCCUCCGUGUAUCCAUUUUU